rnacentral:rRNA from 1 species
GAAAAGAGGCCUCUUAACAAUGCUCCUGCUUUUAGAUGAGUCUGCGUCUGAUUAGCUAGAUGGUGGGGCAACGGCUUACCAUGGCGACGAUCAGUAGUCGGCCUGAGAGGGUGACCGGCCACAUUGGGACUGAGACACGGCCCAAACUCCUACGGGAGGCAGCAGUGGGGAAUCUUCCGCAAUGGGCGAAAGCCUGACGGAGCAACGCCGCGUGAUCGAAGAAGGCCUUCGGGUUGUAAAGAUCUGUUGACAGGGACGAAUAAGCAAUGCGAAUAGUUUUGUGUAUGACGGUACCUGUUUAGAAAGCUCCGGCUAACUACGUGCCAGCAGCCGCGGUAAUACGUAGGGAGCAAGCGUUGUCCGGAAUUACUGGGCGUAAAGGGCGCGUAGGUGGGCGCUUAAGUCAGGUGUGAAAACUCCGGGCUCAACCUGGAGACUGCACUUGAAACUGGGUGUCUUGAGGGCAGGAGAGGAAAGUGGAAUUCCUAGUGUAGCGGUGAAAUGCGUAGAUAUUAGGAGGAACACCAGUGGCGAAGGCGACUUUCUGGACUGUACCUGACGCUGAGGCGCGAAAGCGUGGGUAGCGAACGGGAUUAGAUACCCCGGUAGUCCACGCCGUAAACGAUGAAUGCUAGGUGUAGGAGGUAUCGACUCCUUCU